GACAGAGGGUGCAAACGUUGCUCGGAAUCACUGGGCGUAAAGGGCGUGUAGGCGGGUAGAUAAGUCGGGCGUGAAAUCCCUAGGCUCAACCUAGGAACUGCACUCGAAACUGUUUAUCUUGAGUGCCGGAGAGGAAAGCGGAAUUCCUGGUGUAGAGGUGAAAUUCGUAGAUAUCAGGAGGAACACCAGUGGCGAAGGCGGCUUUCUGGACGGGUAACUGA
rnacentral:rRNA from 1 species